rnacentral:sRNA from 1 species
UCUGCGUUAGCCGGAAGGUGAGGCAUCC